CAGUCGCCACGGGAAAACGGAGGGUGCAAGCGUUAAUCGGAAUUACUGGGCGUAAAGCGUGCGUAGGCAGUUCGUUAAGUCUGUUGUGAAAGCCCCGGGCUCAACCUGGGAAUGGCAAUGGAUACUGGCGAGCUAGAGUGUGUCAGAGGAUGGUGGAAUUCCCGGUGUAGCGGUGAAAUGCGUAGAGAUCGGGAGGAACACCCGUGGCGAAGGCGGCCAUCUGGACCAGUACUGACGCUGAGGCACGAAAGCGUGGGGAGCAAACAGGAUUAGAUACCCCGGUAGUCCCUGUCUCUUAUAC
rnacentral:rRNA from 1 species